rnacentral:sRNA from 1 species
UUUUUCUUUUAAACACAUCCCAACCCAAAGUAUAAGCGCCCACCUAGUCCUAUCUAGUCCAAAAAAUGCGAACUAGAACUACAUGAGACACUAUCUCUAUCGUUACGAACCUAACACUUUCUACCAAGCUUAAUCGGAAUAAGACCUCACAAACACUCACAAGUGAUAUAGGGCUUGAAAGAAAGUCUAGGUUUGGGUUUGGGUUAACUGCUCUAAUAAGGAGAGUCAGCUACUUGGAUUAACUAGAGUGAUCAAAAUGAAUAAGAAAAUCCAAGUAUUUUAGGGUAUCCAUGAGUUCAAAUUUGAUGCAGACAUGAUAAUUAAAGAUCAGAUUCAGGUUCAAAUUGAUAGGGAAUGGUAUCAGAUCAUGACAGUGUGGUCGAGUAGAGCAAUCUAGGCAUGGUUCAGUUUUAUUUCAAAUUC